UUUCCUACGGGGCGCAGCAGUGGGGAAUAUUGCACAAUGGGGGGAACCCUGAUGCAGCGACGCCGCGUGGGCGGGGAAGUAUUUCGGUAUGUAAAGCCCUAUCGGCAGGGAAGAAGAAAUGACGGUACCUGAAUAAGAAGCACCGGCUAAAUACGUGCCAGCAGCCGCGGUAAUACGUAUGGUGCAAGCGUUAUCCGGAUUUACUGGGCGUAAAGGGAGCGCAGGCGGCGCGCCAAGUCUGAUGUGAAACCCCGGGGCUCAACCCCGGGCAGGCAUUGGAAACUGGCGGGCGUGAGUGCCGGGGG
rnacentral:rRNA from 1 species